rnacentral:rRNA from 1 species
GACGAACGCUGGCGGCGCGCCUAACACAUGCAAGUCGAACGGAGCUGCGAGAAGCUUGCUUUUCUUAGCUUAGUGGCGAACGGGUGAGUAACGCGUGAGUAACCUGCCCUGGAGUGGGGGACAACAGUUGGAAACGACUGCUAAUACCGCAUAAGCCCACGAUCCGGCAUCGGAUUGAGGGAAAAGGAUUUAUUCGCUUCAGGAUGGACUCGCGUCCACUUAGCUAGUUGGUGAGGUAACGGCCCACCAAGGCGACGAUUGGUAGCCGGGCUGAGAGGUUGAACCGCCACAUUGGGACUGAGACACGGCCCAGACUCCUACGGGAGGCAGCAGUGGGGGAUAUUGCACAAUGGGGGAAAACCUGAUGCAGCGACGCCGCGUGGAGGAAGAAGGUUUUCGGAUUGUAAACUCCUGUCGUAAGGGACGAUAAUGACGGUACCUAACGAGAAAGCACCGGCUAACUACGUG